rnacentral:rRNA from 1 species
CCUACGGGGGGCAGCAGUGGGGAAUAUUGGACAAUGGGGGGAACCCUGAUCCAGCCAUGCCGCGUGUGUGAAGAAGGCCCUCGGGUUGUAAAGCACUUUCAGUGAGGAAGAACGCCUGGUGGUUAAUACCCAUCAGGAAAGACAUCACUCACAGAAGAAGCACCGGCUAACUCCGUGCCAGCAGCCGCGGUAAUACGGAGGGGGCGAGCGUUAAUCGGAAUUACUGGGCGUAAAGCGCGCGUAGGUGGCUUGAUAAGCCGGUUGUGAAAGCCCCGGGCUCAACCUGGGAACGGCAUCCGGUACUGGAAAGCUAGAGUGCAGGAGAGGAAGGUAGAAUUCCCGGUGUAGCGGUGAAAUGCGUAGAGAUCGGGAGGAAUACCAGUGGCGAAGGCGGCCUUCUGGACUGACACUGACACUGAGGUGCGAAAGCGUGGGUAGCAAACAGGAUUAGAUACCCGUGUAGUC